rnacentral:misc_RNA from 1 species
UCUCCGUUGGUGAGCCAGCGGAGGGAUCAUUACCGAGUUUACAACUCCCAAACCCCUAUGUGAACGUUACCAAACUGUUGCCUCGGCGGGAAAUUCAUGCCCCGGGCGCGUCGCAGCCCCGGACCAAGGCGCCCGCCGGAGGACCAACCAAAACUCUUUUGUAUGUCCCUCGCGGACUUUUAUAAUUCUGAACCAUCUCGGCGCCCCUAGCGGGCGUUUCGAAAAUGAAUCAAAACUUUCAACAACGGAUCUCUUGGUUCUG